CGUCAACGCAUUUAGAUGAAGUAACACUAACACAGCUACAAAACCUAAAGAAGAAUCAGCAGGACAAGGAACAGUUUUUCUGAAUACAACAUAAAUGCAGUAAGAAUAAUCAGAGGUCAGACACGAGGGAGAGAGAGCAAGAGAGAGGCCAGUCAGCCAGGCUGAGGAAGAAAUAAUGCAUGGUAACUAAAGACACUCACCUCUGGCACUUUGGGUGGAGGUUUCCGGAUCACCUUGUCCUCCAGCACUCGUUCUUUGAUCAGGGCGCACGAGACAUCCAGAGCACCCAGCAGGGCAUUGGGCUUGAAACUGACGGGCUGAGCAUCGGGUGACAGCAGCUCCAAAGUGUGAUAUGCUGGAUUCAGAUGGUACUGACUGCAUAGAUCCACCAACAAAUCCAUCAGAGCUUUUCUGAAGAGACAAGAGGACACAUAAGGACAGAGAAAUAUAGAGUUACUUGACGGUUUAGACUUGUAAUUACAUCAUGUGAUGCAGACAGGACCGCGAUAGGAUGAUGGAGAGGAUAGAGAGAGAGAGAGUCAGCUUGAAUUACAGGUGUUAUGUAAAGCAGCAAAUUG